rnacentral:tRNA from 1 species
GCCUCAGUGGCGGAAUGGCAGACGCGCUCGACUCAAAAUCGAGUUCCGAGAGGAGUGUGGGUUCGACUCCCACCUGAGGCA